GGUCCGUUGGUCAAGGGGUUAAGACACCGCCUUUUCACGGCGGUAACACGGGUUCGAAUCCCUUCGAAUCCCGUACGGACUA
rnacentral:tRNA from 1 species